rnacentral:rRNA from 1 species
AGCGAACGCUGGCGGCGUGCUUAACACAUGCAAGUCGAACGUGAAAUGUAGCAAUACAGAGUAAAGUGGCGUACGGGUGAGUAACACGUGGGUAAUCUACCAAAGAGCCUGGAAUAACCGACCGAAAGGUUGGCUAAUACUGGAUAGUUCAAAUGAAAUAUAAUGUUUCGAUUGGGAAAGGGAGCGAGCAAUCGCCUUCACUUUUUGAUGAGCCCGCGUCUGAGUAGCUAGUUGGUAGGGUAAUGGCCUACCAAGGCGACGAUCAGUAGCUGGUCUGAGAGGAUGAUCAGCCACACUGGAACUGAAACACGGUCCAGACUCCUACGGGAGGCAGCAGUGGGGAAUCUUGCGCAAUGGACGAAAGUCUGACGCAGCCACGCCGCGUGAGUGAAGAAGGCCUUCGGGUUGUAAAGCUCUGUCGGAAGGGACAAAAACGUUUAAGGUUAAUAGCCUUAGAUCUUGACGGUACCUUCAAAGGAAGCACCGGCUAACUUCGUGCCAGCCGCCGCAGUAA